rnacentral:rRNA from 1 species
GGGCCCGCACAAGCGGUGGAGCAUGUGGUUUAAUUCGAUGAUACGCGAGGAACCUUACCAAGGCUUAAAUGUAAAACGACCGGUUGAGAGAUCAACCUUUUUUCGAACGAUUUACAAGGUGCUGCAUGGUUGUCGUCAGCUCGUGCCGUGAGGUGUCGGGUUAAGUCCCAUAACGAGCGCAACCCCUAUUUCUAGUUGCCAGCGAGUAAUGUCGGGAACUCUAGAGAGACUGCCCGUGCAAACGGAGAGGAAGGUGGGGAUGACGUCAAAUCAUCACGGCCCUUAUGUCUUGGGCUACACACGUGCUACAAUGGUCAAUACAGUGGGAUGCCAUCUGGUGACAGAGAGCAAAUCCAUAAAGUUGAUCCCAGUUCGGAUCGGAGUCUGCAACUCGACUCUGUG